UAGAGAAUCUUGCACAAUGGGCGAAAGCCUGUUGCAGCCACGCCGCGUGGAGGAAGAAGGCCUUCGGGUUGUAAACUCCUUUCAGCAGGGAAGAAGCGCAAGUGACGGUACCUGCAGAAGAAGCCCCGGCCAACUACGUGCUAGCAGCCGCGGUAAUACGUAGGGCGCGAGCGUUGUCCGGAAUUAUUGGGCGUAAAGCGCGUGUAGGCGGCCCGUUAAGUCGGCUGUGAAAUCCUGGGGCUCAACCCCAGAACUGCAGUCGAUACUGACGGGCUUGAGGUAGCUAGAGGAGAGUGGAAUUCCCAGUGUAGCGGUGGAAUGCGCAGAUAUUGGGAGGAACACCAACGUCGAAGGCAGCUCUCUGGAGCUCACCUGACGCUGAGACGCGAAAGCAUGGGUAGCAAACAGGAUUAGAUACCCGGGUAGUCC
rnacentral:rRNA from 1 species